GACGAACGCUGGCGGCGUGCCUAAUACAUGCAAGUAGAACGCUGAAGAGAGGAGCUUGCUCUUCUUGGAUGAGUUGCGAACGGGUGAGUAACGCGUAGGUAACCUGCCUGGUAGCGGGGGAUAACUAUUGGAAACGAUAGCUAAUACCGCAUAAAAUGGAUUAUCGCAUGAUAAUCCAUUGAAAGGUGCAAAUGCAUCACUACCAGAUGGACCUGCGUUGUAUUAGCUAGUUGGUGGGGUAACGGCUCACCAAGGCGACGAUACAUAGCCGACCUGAGAGGGUGAUCGGCCACACUGGGACUGAGACACGGCCCAGACUCCUACGGGAGGCAGCAGUAGGGAAUCUUCGGCAAUGGACGGAAGUCUGACCGAGCAACGCCGCGUGAGUGAAGAAGGUUUUCGGAUCGUAAAGCUCUGUUGUAAGAGAAGAACGAGUGUGAAAGUGGAAAGUUCACACUGUGACGGUAUCUUACCAGAAAGGGACGGCUAACUACGUG
rnacentral:rRNA from 1 species